rnacentral:rRNA from 1 species
GACGAACGCUGGCGGCGUGCUUAACACAUGCAAGUCGAGCGGUAAGGCCUUUCGGGGUACACGAGCGGCGAACGGGUGAGUAACACGUGGGUGAUCUGCCCUGCACUUCGGGAUAAGCCUGGGAAACUGGGUCUAAUACCGGAUAUGACCUCCUAUCGCAUGGUGGGUGGUGGAAAGAUUUAUCGGUGCAGGAUGGGCCCGCGGCCUAUCAGCUUGUUGGUGGGGUAAUGGCCUACCAAGGCGACGACGGGUAGCCGACCUGAGAGGGUGACCGGCCACACUGGGACUGAGACACGGCCCAGACUCCUACGGGAGGCAGCAGUGGGGAAUAUUGCACAGUGGGCGAAAGCCUGAUGCAGCGACGCCGCGUGAGGGAUGACGGCCUUCGGGUUGUAAACCUCUUUCAGCAGGGACGAAGCGCAAGUGACGGUACCUGCAGAAGAAGCACCGGCUAACUACGUG